AGGUCCAUCCCAAUGCCCUGCAGGUGGUGCCAGUACCUGCUGGGUUUCGCUUGUGGACCACAUUAACUGGAAAACUUCAGCAUGAAUGGGCUUACUGGUGGUCUGCUCAUGGCAAGGGUUUCUGGACAUGU
rnacentral:snoRNA from 1 species